rnacentral:rRNA from 1 species
AGACGUCUACAUUAGACUACCCCGGUAGUCCCAGCCGUAAACUAUGCUCGCUAGGUGUCAGGCAUUGGCGCGACCGUGUCUGGUGCUGCAGGGAAGCCGUGAAGCGAGCCACCUGGGAAGUACGGCCGCAAGGCUGAAACUUAAGGAAUUGGCGGGGGAGCACAACAACGGGUGGAGCCUGCGGUUUAAUUGGACUCAACGCCGGACAACUCACCGGGGACGACAGCAAUAUGUAGGCCAGGCUGAAGACCUUGCCUGAAUCGCUG